GACGAACGCUGGCGGCGUGCUUAACACAUGCAAGUCGAGCGGUAAGGCCCUUUCGGGGGUACACGAGCGGCGAACGGGUGAGUAACACGUGGGUGACCUGCCCUCAGCUCUGGGAUAAGCCUGGGGAAACUGGGUCUAAUACUGGAUAUGACUCCACGGUGCAUGUCGGUGGGGUGGAAAGCCUUGUGCGGCUGAGGAUCGGGCCCGCGGCCUAUCAGCUUGUUGGGUGGGGGAUGGCCUACCAAGGCGACGACGGGUAGCCGGCCUGAGAGGGCGACCGGCCACACUGGGACUGAGACACGGCCCAGACUCCGUACGGGGGCAGCAGUGGGGAAUCUUGCGCAAUGGGCGAAAGCCUGACGCAGCGACGCCGCGUGAGGGAUGACGGCCU
rnacentral:rRNA from 1 species